GACGAACGCUGGCGGCGUGCUUAACACAUGCAAGUCGAGCGGUAAGGCCCUUUCGGGGGUACACGAGCGGCGAACGGGUGAGUAACACGUGGGUGACCUGCCCUCAGCUCUGGGAUAAGCCCGGGAAACUGGGUCUAAUACCGGAUAUGACUCCAUGACGCAUGUUGUGGGGUGGAAAGCCUUGUGCGGCUGAGGAUGGGCCCGCGGCCUAUCAGCUUGUUGGUGGGGUGAUGGCCUACCAAGGCGACGACGGGUAGCCGGCCUGAGAGGGCGACCGGCCACACUGGGACUGAGACACGGCCCAGACUCCUACGGGAGGCAGCAGUGGGGAAUCUUGCGCAAUGGGCGAAAGCCUGACGCAGCGACGCCGCGUGAGGGAU
rnacentral:rRNA from 1 species